UUCAGCGGUACAGAAAGCAGCGGUGAAGCAGUGUCGUCUGUCGUGACUCACCACACUGAUUCGUGGCAAAUGCUUCAUAACACUGAAUGAACCAUUUCGACACGUUGCUUGAUAUAUAUUUACUGCUUCAGAAAGCUAAGGUUUCUCCAUCACUAGUACGACCCUAAUUUCCAAAUGUUCCACGUGACGUUGAGACGUGUUUGAUGCACGAAUUCUUCUUUGUUUGUAUGUUUGUUUUCUUUUGAUGCACGAGUUCUUUAGAGCGUCAUCCUCCAGCCUUUGUGUCGUUGGACGUGCGUGCGUGCGUGCGUGACGUAGUCAAGCUUGUGUGUCUGUCACAGAGCGAAAGAGGCUUGCGUCGUAUUAAAUUCUCCUCUGAAGUUUAUCUGGCUGAUCUUCUAUCUGGACCUGAGAGAUGAAGAAGGCACAAUCGCUCCUUUUCCAAGCGUUGACCGUGCUUGGCAUUUGGGCUUCGCUUGGUGAGUUCACGUUUUUAUUUGACUUCAAGGUGCCUCACUGCAAACGUUGUUGGGACUGGAUUUGUUUCUUCAGAUCAUUAGGGGAUCAAUAUAAAAGGGCAUUUUAUUGGCCCCACCUCGGGGAAAUGUAUACUUGUCAGAUUACUAGACAUAUUAAGCAAACUGUCAGUCUCAUUUGAAACAAUGGAAACAAUACGUUAUACAUCCGCGGUUUUGAGACACUUUCUGAUCCGACUGUGAACUUUUGAAAAAAGGGUGUAGUAAAGCCUAUUUAAAACUAACGACUGACUUUAAGCAUUGAUAUGCCACUCAUUUAACUCACUGACCGCCACUGACUGAAAACCUGAAACAUUCACUUCGGUUUGCCUUGGAAGGCUGCAAAUGGAUUGGACGUCUAGCACCGUCAUUGGCACAGAAACGUGAGAAUCCAUAGCCAGUCCUCCCAGUUAAGAAUAAGCGCACUUCUGUUGUUGUCAGUAGUAAGCUAAACGAACCAAAAUUAUACAUUAAUACAAAUGUAUAUAUAUAACUAUUUUAAAACUAUUAAAAUUAUUAUGAAUUAAAAAAAAAUAACACUAAAUAUUACUAUUAAAUUGUAUAAUAAUAAUUUUAAUUUAAUAAUAAUAAAUUUAAUAAAUUCAUAAUAAUUUAUUUUUUAAUUUAAUUUUAUAGUAUUAUAUAAUACUAUAUUAUUAUUAGUAGUAGUAUUACUAAAUAUAAUAACACUAAAUAUAUAAUACUAAGUAUUGACUAAUGGCAGUUAAAUACUCUUGUAGUUUAGUUUUGGUUAGUUUUAGUUUUACACUAAAGGGUCAUAGUAUUUACCUAUGAUAUAAAUAAAUAUCUACUUUUUUUAAUUCCAUUAUAAUCUUAAUGAUUUUUUAAUCAAUAAAUUAUCAAUAAACCCAAUAGAUUUGUAUUAAUGUAUAAUUGUAUUUUUUCAUAUAUAAAUAAAAUUAACAUUAAAAAAUAAAAAAUAAAUACAUAUAUGUUACAGUUCUACAUGGACUGAGGUUUUCAAUGCAACGCUUCACAUUCCAGGUGUUUUGUUUCACAUUGCGAGAUGGAUAAUUUUGUAUGUGGUGCUUGUGUGUGUGUUUUGUCAUAAUGUAUCAAACGUAGGAAGAGAAUGUCCAAAAGACAUGUGCUUCAACACAACAGAAAACUUAGCUCCAAAACCAUUGUCUGUGAUCUCAAUUGAUCUGGAUCAUGAAUACAUAUAGGUUGAGGUGCUGGAGGGGGAGGGAUAAUUGAACUUUUAAUGACCGAAGGGAAAACAAACAACAACAAAAAACCUGCAGUUGAACACAAUCUUGAUGACUUUUACAAUUGUUGUUACAAUAUGAUUAACACCCCCCACCAACACAAACCUAUAUAAAGACAAACCGAACACUUUAAAAUGCAACUUUUUUUCACCUCGACCUAUAACCUUACUCACCUUGUCUUCACUGAUGCAAAAGCAUCUAUUGCACUUUCAUAUGACAGUUGUUUUGGAAGGGCACUUCUUUCCUGGACUUGGUGGGCUUGGACUUGGUGCUGAUGUGGAUAAGUUCGCUGUAAAAUGACACAUUUCAAAGACAACCCUAUGCUGAGAGCUACAAACUCUUUUGUGAACAAGUGAUCCGUCAAAGGAUUAUCGUUGACAAAGAAGUGCUCAGAAUGGACAAGCCAAGAAGGUUGUUCGUGAACAUCGUGAAGAACCAUGAGGAUCUUGAUGCUUCAGACUACAGGCGGGAUAUGCUGAAAAGAAGAUUGAAGUGUGAUUUCCCCCAAUUAGUUUUUUAUGGGGAGAGAUUUGUCUCAAAAAUAUUCUCACAAAUGCUUUCGCGAUUCACACAUAUCUUUUGUAGAUGCACAAAUAUAUCAGAGAUUUUCACAUGUAUUUUCGAGAUCCACAAAUAUAUCCAUGAGUUUCACAUGUGUUUUUGUAAUUCACAAGUAUAUCCUCGAAAUUCACAUGUGUUUUUUUUAUGUAGUGCGUGCACUCAUCAUGAAUUAUUGUUUGUAAGCAUUCGAAUUGUAUAUGGGAAUCAGCGGCCGCGUGCAUUUAUUUUUGAGACAAACAUAACAAGAAACGGUCAAAUUUUCUCACACAAGCGCAUUCGCGAUUCACACAUGUGUUUUUCGAAUUCACAAAUACAUCCGCGAUUCUCACAAAUACAUUAGUGAUUUUCACACGUGUUUUUCAGAUCCACAAAUACGUCCGCGUUUUCCUCGUGUGUUUUUUAAAUCCACAAAUACUUCCGCAAAUGUCGCAUGUUUUUUUAAUGAUGUGCGCGCAAUUAUCAUGACUUGACAUUUUUUAAGCAUUCAGUUUUGCUUGUGAAUUGCUGGAGCUGUGUUUUUUUUUUUUUUUUUUUUUUUUUUAAACAGCGAACACGCGCAUUUCUUUUUGAGACAAACGUCACUCGAUGUUUCACCAAGAUUUUCUCACACACAGUAAACCAAGAAUUUUCACGUGUCUCAAAUAACCUCCGCCUCAGUCCGAUAGGCGGCAGUAUUGAGCGCAUAGAAAGGUCAAAAGUGCCCAUCAACACAGAUGGCAAAUGGUGUUCUACUUAUGUAGCGCUUUUCCACCUUUCAAGGCGCUCAAAGCGCUUUACACUACAUCGCCAUCUACAUACAGGUGACGCAGCACCAGGAGCAAUGUGGGGUUCAGUAUCUUGCUCAAGGAUACUUAGGCGAGUUCAUCAGGGCAGAGAAUUGCACAACCUCUGGGUUGGGGGACAACUACUCUACCGCAGAGCCACGCCAUCCCCAUCCCCAUCCCCAGGUCACAACGGACACCUAGCGGGUGACAUUACACCGGGCAACAGAUAAACAGGUGUCUUGGGUCCGUUGGAAAACCUACCCUAUUCCAUUUUUUGUUUUUAUGUGUGUUAAUAAAAAAAAAAAAAAAAAAAAAGAGAAAUGAAUCAUCUCCCGUUUCCCAAUUAAAAACUGCUAAUUCAAUAACGGAAACGAGACUUAAUCCAUUUUACCAAUUACUGGUUUUGAGCUGAAGUCGAAAAACAAAAUAUGUCCAAUAUUUGUUUUUAUUAACAAAAAAAAAAAAAACAACAGCACAAAUAUGCCAGGGGGUUAUAAACAUUUCAAACAUUGCACAUCAGGAAAAUAACAAAACAAAACAAAAACAAAAAAACAAUGAAUAAUGCUGUGAGCAAUUAUUCACAAAGAGAUUCAAGUUUUUCCACAAAUAUUGUUAUUUUCCGCUUUUAGAUUAUUUGAUUUUUUAAACAGAUUUAUGUAGCACACAGUCUCGUUAUGAAAGUGAGAAAAAGAAGGUAACAGCUUGCUAAAUUUACAUUUGUGUAGGUAGAAUUUCGACAAAAUGACAAGAUUAAUAAUAGAAACAAUCUCUUUCUUGAGAUUCUUAUAGAAACAAAAACAAAAAAGACAUUUUCCCAUUUGAGUUAGAAGUCCACAUGUGUAGGCUCCUGAUUCUGAACUUGCAAAGUUCUUUCCAAAAUUUAUUGGAAAAAGAGCAGGUCCAAAAAAGGUGCUGAACUGUCUCUGUAUCAAUGUCCCACUUUAAUUUUUUUCAUGUAGUGGUUUGCAGGAUAGUACUUAUCUAUAGAUAAUUUUGAAAGCGACUUCUUUGACCUUACUUGUCAACCGAAACAUAUUGGGGAUAGUCCAUACUUAGGCGUGGACCAAAUGAUAUCUCCAAAAAGACUUAACAUAUGCUUUGGAUCUAAUCUCGUUCUGAAAUAGAGAUCGAGUAUAUCUAUUCAAAUUUUUGUUAUGUAGUAAACAUAAUUUCCCCACACUUGAAUUUAGUAUAUUUGGAGGAGAUAAAGUUUGAAAUGGCAUGUUUACAUUUCUGCACAGCAUAAUGAAUCCUGAAGGAAUCGCAUCAUCAACACUAGCAUAUUGCUUAGGUCUAACUGGUAACUGAAAAUAAUCCCAAAACUCCGCGUAAAACAUAGGUGCCAUUAAAAAGUUGUGACACAAAAAGUGUCUUCUGCCUCUAAUUGUCCAAAAAUAAAGAUUUGUUUUUGCAAAGAAUUCAAUGAGCCAUGACCCGGAAGACGAGGCCUUAUUGAAGAAAAACAUCGUUUUCCGGUUCAAGGCUCAUUGUAAAAGCGAACUCGGAGGAAAACAAAUAUUGGUCGUAUUUUGUUUUUCGACUUCAGUUCAAUAAAUUGACAUUGUAAAAACGGAUUAAGGUUCGUUUUUCGUUUUUUAUUUUCCAAAAUUAGAAGGAAAAACAAACGGCCUCAAGGUACACGGACAGUCUUGAUAGUUCUUGAAGUUUGGGAAUCAUACUUUUAUAGUCUAUGCGCUCAAAACUGCCACCUAUCAGAUGAAGGCGGAGGUUAUUUGAGACACGUGAAAAUUCUCGGCUUACUGUGUGUGAGAAAAUCUUGGUGAAACAUCGAGUGACGUUUGUCUCAAAAAGAAAUGCGCGUGUUUGCUGUUAAAGAACACAGCUCCAGCAAUUCACAAGCAAAAUUGAAUACUUAAAAAAUGUCAAGUCAUGAUAAUUGCACGCACAUCAUUAAAAAACAUGCGAAACUU